GUGGGGAAUUUUGGACAAUGGGCGAAAGCCUGAUCCAGCCAUGCCGCGUGCAGGAUGAAGGCCUUCGGGUUGUAAACUGCUUUUGUACGGAACGAAAAGACUCCUUCUAAUAAAGGGGGUCCAUGACGGUACCGUAAGAAUAAGCACCGGCUAACUACGUGCCAGCAGCCGCGGUAAUACGUAGGGUGCAAGCGUUAAUCGGAAUUACUGGGCGUAAAGCGUGCGCAGGCGGUUAUAUAAGACAGAUGUGAAAUCCCCGGGCUCAACCUGGGAACUGCAUUGGUGACUGUAUAGCUAGAGUACGGUAGAGGGGGAUGGAAUUCCGCGUGUAGCAGUGAAAUGCGUAGAUAUGCGGAGGAACACCGAUGGCGAAGGCAAUCCCCUGGACCUGUACUGACGCUCAUGCACGAAAGCGUGGGGAGCAAACAGGAUUAGAUACCCUUGUAGUCC
rnacentral:rRNA from 1 species